AUAGUCUAUGGCCUUCAGAGUUUUAGUCUGAAUAUCCUUUUAAAGUAGAAUUGGUUUGCGCCAUGCCAAACAAAAAUUUCAAUCGCGUGGCCCUCAUUUAAUUAAUCUUGUAUUAAUUCUUAGAACUCGAGGCGCAUCAUUUAGCGAAUUUUCAUGGCCCUCGAAAAUCUAAAAUGUGUGACUGCUUUAGGUUUACUUUCCUAAACUUGGGUGAGCAUUUAUGUGACCCAAAUCCAAAUCUCAACGUUAGAUAAAAUGGGUUGCAAACCGCUGGUGCAUUUAUG
rnacentral:lncRNA from 1 species